CGCUGGCCGCUGAAAUGUACACCCGGAAAUGUAAUAGUGGCCCUGGCAGCGGUAGAACUCGCGGAAGAGCUUGUAGUAGGACAGUCGGAAAAAGACACAUCUAGAUGCCCCAGGGCGCCGUCCGCAGGGUUAUAUACUUGUGUGUCGUAGAACUUCCGUGUUCCGCCCACACUCUCCCCCUUCUGGACUGCACGUCCCGGGCAGUCACCACGCUAGCGUAGAGAGUACCUUCUUCGGCAACCGUUUUGUCUGUGGCAGUGGGGUGACCAGGCCCACGUCGCGCAUACCCCCCCGCCAAAGGUAUCGCCAGUAGCCAACUUCUGUUGUUGGUGCCAUUUGUGACUCUCGCAUAGCCGUAGCGACGGACUUUGAACCGACGUCAUCAGGAUUUGAACCCCUGACCUUAUGUGGUCGCGUGCGCAUUGUCCGCAGAUAACGCACGUUGGGCCCUGAACUCGAUCCACGAAGCGGUGCUGGAAGACUGUUGUAGGACAGUCGGAAAAAGACACAUCUAGAUGCCCCAGGGCGCCAUCCGCAGGGUUAUAUACUUGUGUGUCGUAGAAC
rnacentral:lncRNA from 1 species